AGAGCGAACGCUGGCGGCAGGCCUAACACAUGCAAGUCGAACGGACCCUUCGGGGUUAGUGGCGGACGGGUGAGUAACACGUGGGAACGUGCCUUUUGGUUCGGAAUAGCUCCUGGAAACGGGUGGUAAUGCCGAAUGUGCCCUUCGGGGGGAAAGAUUUAUCGCCAUUAGAGCCGGCCCGCGUCUGAUUAGCUAGUUGGUAAGGUAAUGGCUUACCAAGGCGACGAUCAGUAGCUGGUCUGAGAGGAUGACCAGCCACAGUUGGGACUGACGACACCGGACCCAAACGUCCGUACGGGAGCAGCAGGUGGGAAUCGUGCGACAAGUGGGACGAAACGCCUGGACGC
rnacentral:rRNA from 1 species